rnacentral:tRNA from 1 species
GCCUUCGUGGUGUAGUGGUCAGCACACUGAGCCGGUAUUUCAGAGGUCCGUGGUUCGAUUCCCGUCAAAGGCC